UACGUAGGGGGCAAGCGUUGUCCGGAGUUACUGGGCGUAAAGGGCACGCAGGCGGCCUGAGGCGUUUCCGGUGCCAGCCCCUCGCUUACCGAGGGGAGUGCCGGGAAGACGCUCAGGCUUGAGGGCCUCAGAGGGACAUAGAAUUCCGGGUGGAGUGGUGAAAUGCGUAGAGAUCCGGAGGAAUACCAAAGGCGAAGGCAGUGUCCUGGGAGGCAACUGACGCUGAGGUGCGAAAGCCAGGGGAG
rnacentral:rRNA from 1 species